rnacentral:rRNA from 1 species
CAUUAUAGAAAUGCCUAUGGCAGAGUUGUCGCUGGCCUUUCCGCCGUGCACGCUCUGUCCCUCCUCAUUUCUCCAUCUCUUUGUGCACUCGCUUGCCAUGGAUAUAUAUAUCGUCGUCCAAGGGGCCCUGGGUUGGUUCCCUUGGAUUCGUAUUAGGACUGCUUUGCGAAUUUUGUGGGCUUUCCUUGCUAUUCCAUGUCUUUUUUUUCACAUGCCCCACUGUAAAUCGUUCAGAAGGAAAUAGAUGGAUUUUUUGAUGCACAUAAUACAACUUUCAGCAACGGAUCUCUUGGCUCUCGCAUCGAUGAAGAACGCAGCGAAAUGCGAUAAGUAAUGUGAAUUGCAGAAUUCAGUGAAUCAUCGAAUCUUUGAACGCAUCUUGCGCUCCUCGGUAUUCCAAGGAGCACGCCUGUUUGAGUGUCGUAAAUAUCUCAACCGCACCGAUUUGACUAUGGGUGCGGCUUGGAUCUGGGGGCGGUGCAGGCUCUGACUUUUGUCGUGGUCUGCUCCCCUGAAAUGCAUGAGUGGGUCGAGCCUCUCCACUAGGUGUGAUACGCUUGUCUGCAUCUCGUCGGAGGGGUCGCGCCACGCGCUGUACUCGAUUGUUGAUAAAAUUGACCUCAAAUCAGGUGGGACCACCCGCUGAACUUAAGCAUAUCAAUA